ensembl:lncRNA
GAGAAAUGUCAGGAUAUUUAAUGGCAUUAUUUGCCCAUCACAAAUACGCAUAAUCUAUGUGUCUUUACCUAUGUUGGCCUACUGUCUAUGUCGACUGCUGUCAAACUGUAUACUACACUUCUGUUGUCUUGCACUGCUGUCGCUUGACUGUGUUGUUUUGUAUGCUGUCUUGGUGUCGUUUGACUGUGUUGUUUUGUAUGCUGUCUUGGUGUCGUUUGACUGUGUUGUUUUGUAUGCUGUCCUGGUGUCGUUUGACUGUGUUGUUUUGUAUGCUGUCCUGGUGUCGUUUGACUGUGUUGUUUUGUAUGCUGUCUUGGUGUCGUUUGACUGUGUUGUUUUGUAUGCUGUCCUGGUGUCGUUUGACUGUGUUGUUUUGUAUGCUAUCUUGGUGUCGUUUGACUGUGUUGUUUUGUAUGCUGUCCUGGUGUCGUUUGACUGUGUUGUUUUGUAUGCUGUCCUGGUGUCGUUUGACUGUGUUGUUUUGUAUGCUGUCCUGGUGUCGUUUAACUGUGUUGUUUUGUAUGCUGUCUUGGUGUCGUUUGACUGUGUUGUUGCAAACCAAAUCUCAUUCUAUGCAUAUUAUGGAACUGAGUCUAUGUCUGAUUAAUCCGGUAAAUUGGUGAGGCUGUGAGAAAUCUAUAAAACAUUUUGAAUACUUUUUCGUGUUCCCAUUUCUAUUAUUACAUUUUAUUUGGAAACCCGUUGGUUGUAACUUCAUGUUUUGUCUUGCCUGUUCUUGUCCAGAAAAAAAUCGAUGAAUCGCCAAUAACACUGAAAAAUUAUUUAGAUUACAGUUUUUGGCCAUAUCGCCCAGCCCUAAUUAGCUAUUCCCUGUGGUGGGUGAACGCUGCUGUUUGUGGCAGAUGUUAGAUGUUGGAUUUUGAGGACAGAGUUUGUGAACAUUGGAGCUUGUGGAUGCUGGAGUUGGGCCAUUUCAGGAGCAGUAGAGAAUGGGUCUGUGGAUUUGGAGUCACUGGAUUAGUAGACUGUGUGUCUGCUCCGGCUCUGACUCUGGCUCUGGCUCUGGCUCUGGCUCUGGCUCUGGCUCUGGCUCUGGCUCUGGCUCUGGCUCUGGGAGCUUGUGUUCAGGGCUGGGAGGGGUAAGAGAGUUGCAUUAAUAAGAGGGUUUUCAGAGAGGAUUCAUUUUCUGUAGUUUUGACAUGCUUGUGUAAGGAGUGAUGGAGAGAAGUGAGAGAAAAGAGGCAGCCGUAGCUGAAAUGAAUGACAGCACACAGAGGAGGAGGAGGAGG